GUGGGGAAUAUUGGACAAUGGGGGGAACCCUGAUCCAGCCAUGCCGCGUGUGUGAAGAAGGCCUUUUGGUUGUAAAGCACUUUAAGCGAGGGGGAGGCUACCGAGAUUAAUACUCUUGGAUAGUGGACGUUACUCGCAGAAUAAGCACCGGCUAACUCUGUGCCAGCAGCCGCGGUAAUACAGAGGGUGCAAGCGUUAAUCGGAUUUACUGGACGUAAAGCGCGCGUAGGUGGCCAAUUAAGUCAAAUGUGAAAUCGCCGAGCUUAACUUGAGAAUUGCAUUCGAGACUGGUUGGCUAGAGUAUGGGAGAGGAUGGUAGAAUUCCAGGUGUAGCGGUGAAAUGCGUAGAGAUCUGGAGGAAUACCGAUGGCGAAGGCAGCCAUCUGGCCUAAUACUGACCCUGAGGUGCGAAAGCAUGGGGAGCAAACAGGAUUAGAAACCCCGGUAGUCC
rnacentral:rRNA from 1 species